ACCGCAGUCAUUGUGGCCGGCCAUGGCUAUAUUUAGUACAAAGAAGAAUUUCACGAUAGCGUGUUAGAUGUCUGUGUGUCGAACAGGUGGACUUAAAUCACGUUCACAGGUACACCCUGACGGCGUCUCCAUCUGCUCUGAGAAGCAGGUAAAGUACCCGCUAGAGAGCUCUCAGUGAUGUGGCUGCAAACAGCUCUACUAUUGCUUGCAUCACAAGCUCAUGGCGUUGAGGACUGCGACUAUGGAGUAUAUGGCGAGAACUGCGACAGGCCCUGCCCCUCCAACUGUGCAACUGCCCAACAGAAAAACCUCACACACUGCAAUAAGUACACUGGGGAAUGUUCUGAGGGAUGUGUUCGUGGUUACCAUGGCGACCAGUGUAAUAUAUCCUGCAGCAGAGGCUGUUUAAACGAAACCUGCAAUAUUGGAGAUGGACA